UGUGUUCUUCAGUCUCAACAGAUAUGUAAAGAAUGUGAAGUGAAGUUUGGGGAGUAUUACUGUGACAUUUGCCAUCUCUUUGAUAAAGACAAGAAGCAGUACCACUGCCAGCCCUGCGGGAUAUGCAGAAUUGGCCCAAGAGAGAAAUACUUCCAUUGUACAAAGUGCAAUCUAUGUUUAGCCACUGAUCUUAAAGACAAUCACAAGUGUGUUGAGAA